rnacentral:rRNA from 1 species
AUUGAACGCUGGCGGAAUGCUUUACACAUGCAAGUCGAACGGUAGAGGGGGCAACCCCUUGAGAGUGGCGAACGGGUGAGUAAUAUAUCGGAACGUGCCCAGUCGUGGGGAUAACGUAGCGAAAGUUACGCUAAUACCGCAUACGAUCUAAGGAUGAAAGCGGGGGACUCGCAAGAGCCUCGCGCGAUUGGAGCGGCCGAUAUCAGAUUAGGUAGUUGGUGGGGUAAAGGCUCACCAAGCCGACGAUCUGUAGCUGGUCUGAGAGGACGACCAGCCACACUGGGACUGAGACACGGCCCAGACUCCUACGGGAGGCAGCAGUGGGGAAUUUUUGGACAAUGGGCGCAAGCCUGAUCCAGCAAUGCCGCGUGCAGGAUGAAGGCC